UCUAGGUUGGGGGCUCCUUCAAAUCAUUCCCAAACCAUUCCCUUCCCCAGCCCCCAGACCAUGAAAAAGUUUUCUGUGAAACUGGUUCCUGGUGUCAAAAAGGUUGGGGAUUGCUCUUUUAGAGCUUUCAUUUCUCUUCAAAUGCCUCUAAGUGAAGCCUUCCUGGUCCUUUAUACAGAGAAACCAAUAGGUUUGCCUUGAGCUUUCCACAGCACCCCCCUCUGAUUCAUCUCCCUAGGCCACAUCCUUAUCUGAAAUAACAGAUACUCACUUAUCUUGCAUGUUUUCUAUCUUGUAUAAUAUUUGCAGUAGAUCUUCUUUGUAGAAGAAGCCCUGUGUCAUGUUGGAGAUGUUCCUAUCUGUUUCUGGUUCUCUGAGUUCUUAUAAUGAAUAUGUCCUGGAGUUUCUCAAAUGCUUUCUGCCUUUAUUAAGACAAUUAUGUAGUUUGGCUUUUAUUUAUCUGUUAAUAUGGUAAGUUACACUGUCUGAUCUUCACUCAGCAAGUCAGCCUUGGAUUCCUGGAAUAAGUUGCAUUCCACCCUGAUGUGUCAUGCUUUUCAUGUAUUGCUGGCUUUCGCUUAUUCCUAUUUUGUGGAGGACUUCUGGAUUCAUGUUCAUGAGAGAAACUGGUGUGAGGUUUUAUUUCCUAGUAUUAUCUGUGUUGGAUUUUCAUUUUAGGUUACUGCUGACCCAAGAAAGGGACCUGGAAGUGCUUCUUCUUCCAUUUGUCUUGUAUUUUGGCCCUUUUAUGUUGUUAUCACAAAAUACUAGAAACCAGGUAAUUCAUACAGAAGAAAAGUGUAUGCAGUUCACAGUUCUGGAAACUUGGCAGUCCCAGAGCAUGGAGUCUCACCUGCACAGCAUCUGGUUGUUUCCUAGACCUGACUGAGAAUCCCAGUUGGGCUUGCAGGUGCUCAGGGUGCCUUCGUCAUUUACAUGAGCCCCAGGUUCCUGGAAUCCAAAUGAGAAGAGGUCACCUGAAGGCAAGAGAACAGAAAAUGGGGCGACCACUCUACGGUCCUUGUCUCUCCAGUCCCCCGUUCCCUGCAGCUACAGAUGGCUCUUCAAACUCUGGACGCUUCCUUAUGCCUGCCUCACUGCUUCACACCUGCUCAUCAUAGGUACCCAGAUAUACCACUGCCAGACAUCAUGGAAGACGUGUGUUCUAUGCUUGUGGAGAAACUAGCUUUAACUUGGAGAUGGAGCAAUUGAAGCAUAAGCAUUAUAAAUGGCCAAUUGGCUCAGUGGAAACCAAAUCUCAAGCUUUUGAACUCUAAAUUACAGUGUAGGUCUCAAAUGCUAUCUACUUUGCUUUUCAUGUUUGAAGUCUGUUGCUAAGAGCUUUUAAAUGUAGUUUUUGAGGGAAGAAUUAUGAAUCAAUCAAGUUGUACAUAUUGGGUACCCAAUAAAUGUUUGUAAGAUGAGCACACAAAAUCCUACUCUAAGACAAAAAAGACUGUAGUAGAAGCCUGCUAAUGUGUGAAAUGAGGACUUUAUUGUGGUGGUUUUUAAAAUUGCCUUAUUAUUUGAUUAAAACAACUUCAGGUAAAAUAUGUGAUCAGCCACAAACUAUUGAUUUUAGAAGAAGGCUGUUCAUAUUCUGGGCUUCAUUACUAAGUACCGUUGUGUGUCUAGCAUCCUGCUGUGAGUAAAGCCACAUCCUCCCAGGAAACACUGGGAUCGUUCUGACACUAAAAUAUAUUUGCACUCAGCAACAGACAGGUCAUUGUCCCCUCUCCAUUAAUAUUAGAAAACCAUUUCUGCAACUUUAGUAUUUUUAAGUGGGUCGAAUCAGAUUUUCUUAAGGGAGUAAUUCUACCAAUGAUGAUUUUUAUAGGCAGAAACACAGGCACAUUCAACCUCUAUGGGACUUACUUUACAGAAUAUGACUUAAUUUUAAAAAGUAAUCAUUUGGGAGUAUGCUAUCAACUGAGGCCUUCCUAGCACCAGCAGGCUACUCACAGGGCAGGGUCCGUGUAGUACUCAACUGUAGUACCUCCCCCUGCCCCACUUUUAAGAAAAGGUAUCCUUACAGCAAAAGAAAAGGAAAUAAAAGUAUGCAACUAGCCAGUUAAAUGCCCUUUAGGAAGGAGGAGCAAGUGUUUUAUGGGUCCACAGAUGGGAUGGCCAAAGACAAAGGCCUUUCUUUCUCCAGGGACAGAGGUCCUGGCCCAGCCACACAGGUGCUCAUCUGCCCACUGGGCUCAGGACCUUCAUCCAUAAAGCAAGAAGUUGAGUACUUUUUCCUAAGUCUAAUACCAGAACUAAUUCCAAGACAUAGGAGUCUAAAAUUUCUGUGUCUGAGUCACAGCAGGGCUGUUUUAUGAUUGUUCUCACUUAGAAUUCCCAGUCUGCUCCAGUUCUUGGGUUUUUUUUAACCUGGAUUUAGUUUCUUCCUUUAAAUUCCCCAGUGUGUCAGACAAGAAAAUAAUCAACUCCUUGGAGCUGGACAUUUAUUUUUGUCCCAAUACUGUGCACGAACAUAUCAUGAACAAAGAAAGUUAAUUCUCUUUAAAUUGGUUUUUGUUAUAGAACUUCAGUCAAUGUUUCCAAUAUCUUUAUACAGGAGCCCACAAUCUUAAUGUCAUUUAAAUCCUAGGGUAAAUAAGUUUUCCCAGAUGAUAAAAUAGUAGUAUUGCCUUGAGUCUAUUCUUGUUUUAAAACAUCAACAUCACUUAAUAUAUCUGGGUACAGUCACAGUGUCUAAGUUAAUACUCCCUGUGCAUAGGAGAUUUUUUUAAAAUUUUGAAAUAAGAUCGAGAAAGUUCUCCUGAAGUAUUCUGCAGGCAUUACUGCAAUUUUUCUGUAAAUGUGUAAAAGCCUCAGGACUUUAUCUUUCAAUUAUAUAUGAUAUGCAACACUUGUUUCCAACACCUGCCGAGAAAUUCCCGGACGCAGAGAGAAACAGCGCUUUCAUCUUAUUAAAUUAGUGUGGUUUCAAUUUCACAUUAUCUUCAGUAGCUCAGCCCAUAGUAUUACAAGUUUAUUGCUUCUCCUUGCCUAUUCUAAAAGUCGAAACCUAAAGUCAUUUUCUGCUUUAUUGACUUGCAGGAGAAAAAAACUGAAAUUAUCCUGGUCAUUAGAGAGAGUACUUACAAUUUUUUUGCCUUCUAUUAACACUUCAGAAAAAUUGGUCUCGACAUUCCACAGUAUCACAGAUCCAUUUCGUUCUCUGUAGAUGAAUUCUUUAUCUACAAGAGAGGAGACAGAAAAGAAACAGGAGCCAUCAAGGAACUGAGCUUGGCUUUUGGUGGACGCUUGUGUAGAAUGUGUUGAAGGGCUCUGAAAAAAAGAUCUGCACUUUUCAUCCAAGCGUCCUUUAAACAUGACGAGCCCAUCUCUGCAUCCUGUGGUCUCAUGGGCUGCUUCUGUCUGGUCCUCACCGCUCCACACCUGACAGAAUGCACAGCCCAGACUUGCACAACCCUUUGAAUGUUGUGGGAAUUUCUUGGGUGGGACACAUGAGGUGGACACCCAGAGCAGGUGAGGAAAUGAGCUGCUAUAGGGUGCAGGGUGCUUGGGAGGGAAGGGAUCGGUGUCCUGCACCUAACAUGUAGGGAUGAGUCCAUGCAGCACCCCAGCAGGAGGCGACCCCCAAACCCAUAGCACUAGCUCUCACCUUGUCCACAUGGCUCUCUGGCUACUCUCAGAGGGUGCAACAGUUUCUCUGAUCUUUUCAGUCUAUUCAUCAUGUGGUUAGCGACCCUGGUCUUUUGUGUAUUAGCAAACAAGGUUUUAAUUAUCCCCUUAGAAAAUUAAUAAAUUAUACACUGAAUAGUAAGCAAAUGAAAGGGUACACUUUCUGGAGGCAGAAUUGUUGGUGGGAAGACAGGCUUGCCAUGGGGAGAGGAAAGGCGCAUCUUUCCAAGGAAAGGUAGUGACAUUUGGAUGGUGAAGUUGUUCCACACUAAAUAGGUGAAGACCGAAAGAGAAGGUACAGACUGAAUUCAUGCUAAGUGAAGUUAUUAUAAUUCAAGUAUGCCUGGAUUUUAUUGGGAAAACUAAAGCUUAUUCAUAGAGGGAGAUUUUAAUUAUUUGCACAGUUCUAGGUUAAUCCAUUUUAUGCAUUACUGUCAAUUAUGUGCAGAAGUUUGGUGCUAAGCUUGGCAUGAGACUUUCAUAGGAAAUGGUUUCCAUGUAUUUUCUAGGUAAUACUUUCAUAACAAAUCAAGUAAGUCACGUUUUUCUUUUGCUUCCUUUUUGCAAACAACCAAGGGUCACCUGUUGAACCAUUUCAGUGAAGAGAACUUUAUGUUCCAAAUUUUAAAUUUUCUUUUUGGGAAAGCACUUGAAAAUUGGUUUAUCAGUUGCAGAAGAAAGUUGCAGAAAAAGGCUAUGACUUAAUUAAAUUACCACUCCGACUCCAUUUAUUUAAAAGCUUUUACACUGAGCAAAUUUCUAAAAAUCAAAUCCUUAUAAGUGGAUGAAGAUUUACUACCAUCAGUUCCCCUAAGAAGUCGUAGGCUUUGCUUUAACCCACCCUUCAUGGUAUGAAUCACCUAGAAUAAAAUGUUUUUUAAAAAGGUUUUAUAAUACUUGAUAUACAUAUGUUUAUGUUAGAAAGUGAAACCAAUAAAACAAUUUAAAAAUUA